rnacentral:rRNA from 1 species
UACGGGGGGUGCGAGCGUUGUCCGGAAUCACUGGGCGUAAAGGGUGCGUAGGUGGGUCUGUAAGUCAGUGGUGAAAUCUCCGGGCUUAACUCGGAAACUGCCGUUGAUACUAUAGAUCUUGAAUAUCGCGUAGGUAAGCGGAAUAUGUCAUGUAGCGGUGAAAUGCUUAGAUAUGACAUAGAACACCAAUUGCGAAGGCAGCUUACUUCACGAUCAUUGACACUGAGGCACGAAAGCGUGGGGAGCAAACAGG